GCGUCCGUGGUCAGGCGGCGACGGUGGUGGCCACCUGGGCCGGGGCGAGGGCGAUGUCCAGGACCUCGCGGACGUC
rnacentral:tRNA from 1 species